AGGUGUGUAGCUCAGUGGUAGAGCACGUGCUUAGCAUGCAUGAGGUCCUGGGUUCAAUCCCCAUUACCUCCA
rnacentral:tRNA from 1 species